UACGAAGGGGCUAGCGUUGUUCGGAAUUACUGGGCGUAAAGCGCGCGCAGGCGGUUUCUCAAGUCAGUGGUGAAGACCGCGAGCUCAACUCCGGAACUGCCAUUGAAACUGUGAGACUUGAGGACGAGAGAGGUGAGUGGAAUUCCCAGUGUAGAGGUGAAAUUCGUAGAUAUUAGGAAGAACACCAGUGGCGAAGGCGGCUCACUGGCCCGGUACUGACGCUGAGGCGCGAAAGCGUGGGAGCAACAGG
rnacentral:rRNA from 1 species